rnacentral:rRNA from 1 species
CCUACGGGGGUCAGCAGUGAGGAAUAUUGGUCAAUGGACGAGAGUCUGAACCAGCCAAGUAGCGUGAAGGAUGACUGCCCUAUGGGUUGUAAACUUCUUUUAUAUGGGAAUAAAAUGUUCCACGUGUGGGAUUUUGUAUGUACCAUAUGAAUAAGGAUCGGCUAACUCCGUUCCAGCAGCCGCGGUAAUACGGAGGAUCCGAGCGUUAUCCGGAUUUAUUGGGUUUAAAGGGAGCGUAGGUGGAUUGUUAAGUCAGUUGUGAAAGUUUGCGGCUCAACCGUAAAAUUGCAGUUGAAACUGGCAGUCUUGAGUACAGUAGAGGUGGGCGGAAUUCGUGGUGUAGCGGUGAAAUGCUUAGAUAUCACGAAGAACUCCGAAUGCGAAGGCAGUUCACUGGACUGCAACUGACACUGAGGCUCGAAAGUGUGGGUAUCAAACAGGAUUAGAUACCCGAGUAGUC